UAAUGCACCAAUGAUGACCUGCAUCCUUGGUGCCAUCCAUUGGAAACAUCUUGGGCUGUACCUGACUGGCAUCAACACAGGCCCAGGCUCUACACCACAGCCAAUGGUCCUACCCAGAGCCUCUAGCAGAAAACACCAGGGGAGACUCAAGGUGGACCCCUAGGAUUCUGGGGUCAAAGCUACAAAGGCUCCAAAGCCACCACAGCUGAAAAGGAGAUACUGGAGCUGCUUUGGAAGUGAUGGGUUGGAUAUUCACAAGUAGAGCUUCGUCUCCUCAUGAUGCCACCAAUGCUGCACGGAGUAAGUGGAUGGCAGGAAUCUCACAGUGGGCUCCAGUAGGAAAGCCCAGUCACCCAGGUCUUGUAGAAGCCAUUGUGUGUAUUUGUUAAAAAAUUGUUGCUCAGGGCCCCAUUUAAAAUUAGUUUUCUUUUGGAUCAUGUCAGAGAGGAAAAAAAAAAAUUUUUUUUUUUUUUUUUUUACACUAAAGGACAAACACAGAUAGUCUUCCCUCUUACUGUCAUAUGGAUACUCUUGCUAAAAUCCAUAACAAUCAGAAUCUCAACAGUAUUUAAUUUUCAAAAGGCCUGGAAGUAUGUGGCAGAUCUAAGGUAGUGGUAGGGCUGUAACUGGAGAAUAGAAACCUCCCUCUCCUCCUGUGCCAGGGAAAGGCAGAUGUUUAAUACAACAGCAUAUGACAGGAGUUAAGCUAUGUCACUAAGUAUGCUAAUCUGAUAUCUGUAUUGUUUAAUCAAAUUCAUACAGACAUUUUUCCUUUAUCUUUCAUUUUCAUAGGGUGGUUACAGGUUUUUUUCACAGCAUCCAAUAAGGUUUGAAUUUAGAACUUUCAAACCCAUGUUCUUUUUAAAUAGCAAAUCUUUAUAUGGAGGGAAAAAAGUUAUUUUAAAAGUUAUGAAAAAUGUUAGUUAGUUUAUGCUCAGGAUUGUUGUUUACUUAUUCAAACACUUGUCUUGAUCAAAAACAGUCUUGAGAGUCUGUAUCUGUGCCUUAUAAAUAAAAAAUCAGAUUAAGAUCAUGGCAGUCAACUUCAUUACUCCUGACUGUGAGACAAUUUGCUUUUAAAGCACAUGGCAGUAUCUAACAGUACAGUCGCCUGAUUUAGUUGAAAAUGGCAAUAAGGGUUUAGCUUUCAUGAAGUGUAUUGAAACCACCAUGUGAAAAACUAUGAAUCCCUGAGAUUAAGUCCUAAUUUUAAAAGUUAUAAAUGUUUUUAAUUAUAUUGCCUGUGCAAAAUACUUUGUUUCCAGGAAGCACUUUAGGAAUGUGUAGUCAGAAAGGCCAGGAAUCCAAACUCUAGUUCAAGCAGUCAUUCUGGUUUAGAAAUAGUGCAAAAGCAUGUUCGUGGAUAAUUUGGUUAUUCCUACUGAACUUGAACGUGAACACAGGAAAUAACACACACUUUUACACAGCUAUUAGGCUUUCCAAGGGGAAAAACAUAACUUAGACCAUUUAAAUAAGAGUAAAGUAUUGAAAUAAAAAUUCUAUCAUGGUAAUAAUACUAAUAUAGUAAGUUAAAAUAAGGUAAAAAUAAGAUACAUAAGCUAAAAAUAAGUAUUGAACUAAAAGGGAAGAUAAUAUUUUUUCAUAAGAAUGGAACUUUUAUCUACAGUUAUAGUUAUUAUUCAAUAUGCUAUUGUAUUUAAAUUUAUAAUAUUUUCCCCAUUGCUUUGAGUUUAAUUACAUCUAACCAUCUCUAGAUUUUGGAUUGGUUAUGUG